rnacentral:rRNA from 1 species
UGUUACAAUGGCAGGUACAGCGGGAGGCCACCCGGCGACGGGGCGCAGAACCCGAAAACCUGUCUCAGUUCGGAUUGGAGUCUGCAACCCGACUCCAUGAAGCUGGAUUCGCUAGUAAUCGCGCAUCAGCCACGGCGCGGUGAAUACGUUCCCGGGCCUUGUACACACCGCCCGUCAAGCCAUGGAAGCCGGGGGUGCCUGAAGUGCGUGACCGCAAGGGACGCCCUAGGGUAAAACCGGUGACUGGGGCUAAGUCGUAACAAGGUACC